UACGGGGGGGGCUAGCGUUGCUCGGAAUUACUGGGCGUAAAGGGCGCGUAGGCGGCCUACUAAGUCGGACGUGAAAUCCCUCGGCUCAACCGGGGAACUGCGUCCGAUACUGGUGGGCUCGAAUCCGGGAGAGGGAUGUGGAAUUCCAGGUGUAGCGGUGAAAUGCGUAGAUAUCUGGAGGAACACCGGUGGCGAAGGCGGCAUCCUGGACCGGUAUUGACGCUGAGGCGCGAAAGCCAGGGGAGCAAACGGG
rnacentral:rRNA from 1 species